GACCCAAUGGUACAAUGGCUAGUGCACUUGCUUUGGCUAGUUGGAUUCGCAUGAAGGUUAGGCAAGAGUUCCCUGUUCAAUUCGGGGUUGGGUCG